AAACCGUUGGUCGCCAUGGUUUCCAAAACAAAGUAGCAAGAGGGAGGGGGAGGAGCCCUCGUGGCUCUUCUGGAAAGGAGGGUGCAGAGAGGCAAGAAAAGAGAACGUGGCUGGAAGCGGGAGGCAAGAAGUCAUAGCUCAGGAGUUCCGGGCUUUUGGCCUUGGGCCAGCCACAGAAGAUUGUGACCGGAAAAUUUUAAAAACCGACUGCUAUAAUUCAACCCUCUUUUACUACAGUGAAGGAACUGAGGCCCAGAAAACGGAACUCUUGUGACCAAGAUCACACAGUGUUGGAAGGCAUAAAAAGAAGUGGACGGCGAAAGAAGAGAUGAAUUUGUUCUUCACGGAUAUUCUAGUUUUCAUUAGCCCACAAUGCAAAUUUUGUUCCAAAGUUCAGCAUCCCAAAAUGAUAUUAACUGACAUCUGACUUUAUUCUGACCUUUUACAGAUAAAUUUGAUAGUAUUGUUCACAUUGAAAAUAAAAGCUUG